GUCUACGGUCAUGCCACCCUGAACAAGCCUGAUCCCAUCUGAUCUUGGAAGCUAAGCAGGGUCAGGCCUGGUUAGUACUUGGAUGGGAGACCACCUAGGAAGACCAAGUGCUGUAGGUA
rnacentral:rRNA from 1 species